rnacentral:rRNA from 1 species
GAGUUUGAUCCUGGCUCAGAUUGAACGCUGGCGGCAUGCCUUACACAUGCAAGUCGAACGGUAACAGGUCUUCGGACGCUGACGAGUGGCGAACGGGUGAGUAAUACAUCGGAACGUGCCCAGUCGUGGGGAUAACGUACUCGAAAGAGUAGCUAAUACCGCAUAUGAUCUGAGGAUGGAAAGCGGGGGACCUUCGGGCCCGUCGCGACGA